CCCAAGACUCGAGGAAACCUCCAUCCAAGACAAAGGACGGAAAAAUAUUAAUCCGAAACAGACUUCGUCUUACUAGUAUAAUGGCCGGAACCCGGCAUACAGACGAUAUCUUUAUUCUACCUGAAAUGUAGAGCACGGCUAAGGGCGGCUCUCUUGAACUUGAAACCACCGAUGACGUCUUUCUUCUACCUGGAGGAAACACGGAAGCAGAAGAUAUAUACAAGGCUGCUGGAGAAAAUGCAGCACAAGCUCCAAAACUUAGUCGACCGAUAACAAGGGGGUCGAGGCACCAAACGGGACAGCCAAACGUACCGUUAUGAAGAGGAGAGGGAGAUCUAUUGAACCCCUACCGUCAUGGUCAGAGAAGUCACCGGAACCAGCAGC
rnacentral:lncRNA from 1 species